rnacentral:lncRNA from 1 species
AAAAAGAUGAUACUUAAAAAUGACAAACCAGAUGUUGGAAGUUCUGAUGAAUCUGCAGUCAGCAUUUUCCAUGAACUGUGUGUGGAUUCAUUGCCUGCAUUAGAUGACGAAGUCUUGAGUGUUGCUGCUAAGUGUGUCCCCGAGAAAGUGUCAGAGCCUUUAUGUGGACCUUCCCAUGGAAAAGGAAAACAGAAUAGUCAAUGGAAAAGGAGAAGGGCCUCCUGCAAAACAUCCUUCCUUGAAGCCUAGCACUGAAAUGGAAGAUCCUGCUGUGAAAGGAGCAGUACAAAGAAAGAAUGUACAGACAUUGAGAGCAGAACAAGCCUUACCAGUGGCUUCAGAGGAAGAGCAACAAAGACGUGAAAGAAGUGAAAAGAAG